rnacentral:lncRNA from 1 species
CUUGUAGGCUUCACAUUAGCCUCUCUUUCUUGGGUAUUGGCUGUUUGUGACCUUGUCAAAUAAUGGCUGGGUGAAUCUGGUUUCUAUUUCUCCUCAGGCUUCCUCAUGUGCAUGCAGGCUGCCAGGUGCUGGGGCUGCACAAGCAUGUCACAAAGGCGGGGAGCUCCAGGAUGGGCUGAUGGCGAGUGGACAGGAUGAACACCAGGGAAAGAAUAUUGGCUAUGGUUUUCUGCAGUAACUGCAGAAAGUGGACCAAGAGUGAAGACAUGGAGAUGACACCAUGCACGGGGGACACAGAACCCUGUCUCAGGCUCCUGAGGAAGCACCUAAAAGUAAAAGCAAGAAACCCUCAUUAGUUGGCUGAAUCCUUCAUUAGACCACUUUUGCUUGGUAAAGGAUGUUACAUGAAAGACAAAAAUUUAUGAAAUCCAAAGUGCUUGAAUAUGACAAAACCUAGCAGAAGAGAGCUUUCUUCCUUCCAAUCCAGCCCAAUUCAGAU